rnacentral:misc_RNA from 1 species
UUAACUAUUUGUUUUUUACUUCAGGCUGCAAAGGGUUGCGAGGGUUUGGGUUUCGGCCGGAGGGACCCCCAAAGGGGACCCGCCUGACGCCGAUCAUGGGGCUGGAAGCGAAGGGUGGGGGUGGGCGCCGAAGCGCCCGGUGACCCAGUAAUGAUCCUUCCGCAGGUUCACCUACGGAGA